AGAAUCAACGCCGGCGGCGUGCCUAACACAUGCAAGUCGAACGAGAAAGUGGAGCAAUCCAUGAGUAAAGUGGCGCACGGGUGAGUAACACGUGACUAACCUACCCUUGAGUGGGGGAUAACCUAGGGAAACCUGGGCUAAUACCGCAUAAUACCUUCGGGUCAAAGGAGCAAUUCGCUUAAGGAGGGGGUCGCGGCCGAUUAGUUAGUUGGCGGGGUAAUGGCCCACCAAGACUGUGAUCGGUAU
rnacentral:rRNA from 1 species